ACUUGAUUCACGUUCCUAAACUAAUGAAUGUUAAAGGGAUUGGUAGAUUUGAAAGCAUGUGUAGGUCGAUUGUAAGAGUGGGAUUGAACUAUAAUAAGGCAUGGCUAACGUUUUUGAGUAGAGUUCGAUCAUAUCGCAUCCUAGAACUGCCAAAUUGGACAUUGAUUUUAUCUGAUUUAUCUAAUGCUUUGGUUCUGAAUCCCCACCUUCAAACCUCUCAUUAAGCUU
rnacentral:sRNA from 1 species